UACGAAGGGGGCUAGCGUUGCUCGGAAUCACUGGGCGUAAAGCGCACGUAGGUGGCUUCUUAAGUCAGGGGCGAAAUCCUGGAGCUCAACUCCAGAACUGCCUUUGAUACUGAGAAGCUUGAGUCCGGGAGAGGUGAGUGGAACUGCGAGUGUAGAGGUGAAAUUCGUAGAUAUUCGCAAGAACACCAGUGGCGAAGGCGGCUCACUGGCCCGGUACUGACGCUGAGGUGCGAAAGCGUGGGGAGCAAACAGG
rnacentral:rRNA from 1 species